rnacentral:rRNA from 1 species
UAGGGAAUCUUCGGCAAUGGACGGAAGUCUGACCGAGCAACGCCGCGUGAGUGAAGAAGGUUUUCGGAUCGUAAAGCUCUGUUGUAAGAGAAGAACGAGUGUGAGAGUGGAAAGUUCACACUGUGACGGUAUCUUACCAGAAAGGGACGGCUAACUACGUGCCAGCAGCCGCGGUAAUACGUAGGUCCCGAGCGUUGUCCGGAUUGAUUUAUUGGGCGUAAAGCGAGCGCAGGCGGUUAGAUAAGUCUGAAGUUAAAGGCUGUGGCUUAACCAUAGUAGGCUUUGGAAACUGUUUAACUUGAGUGCAAGAGGGGAGAGUGGAAUUCCAUGUGUAGCGGUGAAAUGCGUAGAUAUAUGGAGGAACACCGGUGGCGAAAGCGGCUCUCUGGCUUGUAACUGACGCUGAGGCUCGAAAGCGUGGGGAGCAAACAGGAUUAGAUACCCUGGUAGUCCACGCUGUAAACGAUGAGUGCUAGGUGUUAGACCCUUUCCGGGGUUUAGUGCCGUAGCUAACGCAUUAAGCACUCCGCCUGGGGAGUACGACCGCAAGGUUG